GACGAACGCUGGCGGCGUGCCUAAUACAUGCAAGUAGAACGCUGAAGGAGGAUCUUGCUUCUCUGGAUGAGUUGCGAACGGGUGAGUAACGCGUAGGUAACCUGCCUGGUAGCGGGGGAUAACUAUUGGAAACGAUAGCUAAUACCGCAUAAGAGUAGAUGUUGCAUGACAUUUGCUUAAAAGGUGCAAUUGCAUCACUACCAGAUGGACCUGCGUUGUAUUAGCUAGUUGGUGGGGUAACGGCUCACCAAGGCGACGAUACAUAGCCGACCUGAGAGGGUGAUCGGCCACACUGGGACUGAGACACGGCCCAGACUCCUACGGGAGGCAGCAGUAGGGAAGCUUCGGCAAUGGACGGAAGUCUGACCGAGCAACGCCGCGUGAGUGAAGAAGGUUUUCGGAUCGUAAAGCUCUGUUGUAAGAGAAGAACGAGUGUGAGAGUGGAAAGUUCACACUGUGACGGUAUCUUACCAGAAAGAGACGGCUAACUACGUG
rnacentral:rRNA from 1 species